AUGCGGCUGCUGCUGGCCCUGUUGGGGAUCCUGCUGAGUGUGCCUGGGCCUCCAGUCUUGUCCCUGGAGGCCUCUGAGGAAGUGGAGCUUGAGCCCUGCCUGGCUCCCCGCCUGGAGCAGCAAGAGCAGGAGCUGACAGUAGCCCUUGGGCAGCCUGUGCGGCUGUGCUGUGGGCGGGCUGAGCGUGGUGGCCACUGGUACAAGGAGGGCAGUCGCCUGGCACCUGCUGGCCGUGUACGGGGCUGGAGGGGCCGCCUAGAGAUUGCCAGCUUCCUACCUGAGGAUGCUGGCCGCUACCUCUGCCUGGCACGAGGCUCCAUGAUCGUCCUGCAGAAUCUCACCUUGAUUACAGACGACUCCUUGACCUCCAGCAACGAUCAUGAGGACCCCAAGUCCCAUAGGGACCCCUCGAAUAGGCACAUUUACCCCCAGCAAGCACCCUACUGGACACACCCCCAGCGCAUGGAGAAGAAACUGCAUGCAGUACCUGCGGGGAACACCGUCAAGUUCCGCUGUCCAGCUGCAGGCAACCCCACGCCCACCAUCCGCUGGCUUAAGGAUGGACAGGCCUUUCAUGGGGAGAACCGCAUUGGAGGCAUUCGGCUGCGCCAUCAGCACUGGAGUCUCGUGAUGGAGAGCGUGGUGCCCUCGGACCGCGGCACAUACACCUGCCUGGUAGAGAACGCUGUGGGCAGCAUCCGCUAUAACUACCUGCUAGAUGUGCUGGAGCGGUCCCCGCACCGGCCCAUCCUGCAGGCCGGGCUCCCGGCCAACACCACAGCCGUGGUGGGCAGCGACGUGGAGCUGCUGUGCAAGGUGUACAGCGAUGCCCAGCCCCACAUCCAGUGGCUGAAGCACAUCGUCAUCAACGGCAGCAGCUUCGGAGCCGACGGUUUCCCCUAUGUGCAAGUCCUAAAACUGCAGACAUCAAUAGCUCAGAGGUGGAGGUCCUGUACCUGCGGAACGUGUCAGCCGAGGACGCAGGCGAGUACACCUGCCUUGCAGGCAAUUCCAUCGGCCUCUCCUACCAGUCUGCCUGGCUCACAGUGCUGCCAGGUGAGCACCCGAAGGGCCAGGAGAUGCUGCGAGAUGCCCCUCUGGGCCAGCAGUGGGGGCUGUGGCCUGUUGGGUGGUCAGUCUCUGUUGGCCUGUGGGGUCUGGCCUGGGGGGCAGUGUGUGGAUUUGUGGGUUUGAGCUGUAUGACAGCCCCUCUGUGCCUCUCCACACGUGGCCGUCCACGUGACCGUCUGCUGAGGUGUGGGUGCCUGGGACUGGGCAUAACUACAGCUUCCUCCGUGUGUGUCCCCACAUAUGUGGGGAGCUGGGAGGGACUGAGUUAG
rnacentral:sRNA from 1 species